UACAGAGGGUGCGAGCGUUGUCCGGAAUUACUGGGCGUAAAGCGUGCGCAGGCGGUUCGUUGUGUCCGUCGUGAAAGCCCCGGGCUUAACCUGGGAACUGCGAUGGAAACUAGCGAGCUGGAGUGUGGCAGGAGGGGGGUGGAAUUCCGCGUGUAGCAGUGAAAUGCGUAGAGAUGCGGAGGAACACCGAUGGCGAAGGCAGCCCCCUGGGCUAACACUGACGCUCAGGCACGAAAGCGUGGGGAGCAAACAGG
rnacentral:rRNA from 1 species